rnacentral:lncRNA from 1 species
CAACUUUGCUAUCUUAGAACGGAUCACCAGUGAAAGAGGGGAAGUUGCUACUGUGAUGAAUUCUGCCAUGUGGUACCAGACUGCUGCCCAGACCACAGUGUCCUCUGCAACCCUGGUAACUCACAUACAGGCCUGAUUCCACCUACAGCAAAGCUGGAUGCUAUGGUUGGCAGAGGCAAGCCCCUUGCCUGCACUUCAGGCCAAAGCCGGGAUGUGGCCUAGAUGGUUCCUAAGGUCCCUGACAGUCCUGAGAUCUUUCAUCUUGUCUAUUUCAGGUCAAAGGUGCCUACAUGUUCCUUCUAGCUUUGUUUCCCUGAUGUUCCUUGCCACCUGCUACUCCUCUCUGAGCUACUUUUCCAGCUUCUCAGAUGACCAAGAUGGUGCUGCCGAUGGUGUUGAGGACGGAGAACCCACCAAGCCCCGUUAGGAGCCACCUAGACUGGAUGCAGAGCACAGUUCAGCGACUUCUCCAAACCAGCCUCCCAGGAAUGCUGUUCUCUAUGGCCGUGAGGGGAAUCAAGAAGAGAGCCUGACUCCUCUCCUGAGGUCCCUUCCACACCCUGAGCCAGCAGGAUCCACGGAGCAGAGGUCAUCUGCCCGCAACUUGGCCCACUGAGGCCAGCAUGGCUGGGCCCAGGAUGCUUGUCUCUCAGCUCCCA